AUGACAGUCCAGCAUACGUCAGCCCCAGCAGCUCAUCAUACAAAAAGAAAGGAAGAACAACCUCUAAACUCAAGGAGCACAAAGCAGACAAGGACUGGAGAGGGAAGAAGAAAUACGAACACAGAGGCUCCUAAACGAUUGAGAAAGGAUAGUGCUGAAGAAGAUAAGGAAUUGAAGUGUGCAAGAAGCGGAAGCAACAAAAACAACAUUAGAAUCAAUGUUGGAGACAACAACAGAACCACAACCUCGACAAGUGCUAAUAGAAAGGCAUGGAACUUCGGAAGGCCAACAUACAAAUGCCAGUAUUGCAAAGCAUUGCUAUGGUGUGAAGAAAGAUUAAAUUCAAACAAAGGAACAAAGACACCCUCUUUUGGAAUAUGCUGCAAACAGGGAAAAAUCGAUCUGCCACCACUAAGAGAGCCUCCACCAUACCUCAGAAACCUCUUAAGAAGUGAAGGACAGGAUUCAGUAAACUUCAAAGAAAAUAUAAGGUCAUACAACUCAAUGUUUUCAUUCACAUCCAUGGGAGGAGUUGUGGACAAGGAAAUAAACACUCACAAAGGACCUUAUGUUUUUCGUUUGCAUGGACAGAACUACCACCACAUCGGAACUCUUUUACCUGAAGGUACAGACAAACCUCGGUUUGCACAGCUGUACAUCUAUAAUACUGAAAAUGAGGUGGCAAACAGGAUAAGUGCGUCAAGAUGCAAUGAUAAUAAAUCAACAGUGGACCCCAACAUUGUCAAAGAAUUGCAAAUAAUGCUUGACGACAACAACAUCCUCGCAAAAACAUUCAGAAUGGCAAGAGAUAGAUUCCAAGAAGGAGACUACCAUGAUUACACACUUCGGAUACUAGGAAAAAGGAACGGAACACACAACCUUCCAUCCGCAUCUGAAGUUGCAGCAUUGGUAGUAAGAGAUCCAACUGGAGAGAGUGAAGGACGUGACAUUGUUGUUGAGUACAAAAAUAUGGUGCCACAAAGGAUAUCAGAGAUCCACCCGAAAUUCAUGUCCAUGCAAUAUCCUUUGUUGUUCCCAUAUGGAGAAGAUGGUUUUAAACUUGAGAUACCGUACAAGAAAACAAAAGGAGCUAAAAACAGCAGGAAAUACGUAACGUUGUUGGACUACUAUGCAUUCUACCUACAGCAACGUCCAGACCAAGGAAUGUUAUUGCUCAAGUCUGGGCAUCUGUCACUGCAAUUUUGGGUGGAUGUAUACACAUGUAUCGAGCAAAAUAGACUAAACUGGAUCCGACACAAUCAAGGAAAGCUAAGAACUGAACUUUACAGUGGAUUGCAGGAUGCAAUUAAGCGAGGGGACACAAGAACAGAGCAGGUUGGAAAGAGGAUAAUUGUGCCUUCAUCUUUUACAGGUGGUAGAAGAAACAAGGCACAAUACUUGCAAGAUGCAUUCGCGAUAUGUCGUUGGGCUGGAUACCCAGACCUGUUUAUAACAUUCACAUGCAAUGCAAAGUGGCCUGAGAUCCAAUACAUGCUAGAUGAAGCGGGAGGUGGCCAAAAGCCAGCCGAUCGGCCAGAUAUUUUGGACAGAGUAUUUAUGAUAAAACUAAAGGAGCUAAUGAGAGACAUAAAAGAAAAGAAAUACUUUGGAGAAACACUUGCAAGUAAGUCCCAUCAACUAUCAAUAUUUACUCUUUCAUGCGUCAUCUUAUAG
rnacentral:rRNA from 1 species